GGCCCGUUAGUUCAGUUGGUCAGAACGCCUGCCUGUCACGCAGGAGGCCACCAGUUCAAGCCUGGUACGGGUCGCCA
rnacentral:tRNA from 1 species